rnacentral:rRNA from 1 species
AUGGAGCGAAUCACACCUAAUCCUAUAUGGUGUCAAAUAUGGAAGUUAUCUUGUCCGACAAAAGUAAAAGAAUUAUAUCGUACAUUACAUGGCACUCUCCUAUGCCGGGUAACACUCGCUAAUAGACACAUGAAAGUCUCGCCCUCUUGCCCUACUUGCUCUCAAGGUUUUGAAGAUACAAAACACAUGCUUUUUCUCCGUAGUAAAGCAAAGGAGGUUCGGAAGAGACCAGGGAUGGAUGAGAUUAUUGAUAAAGCUUGUGAGGUUGACCGUGCUAGGGAGGCGAUAUUGGAAUACCUUCUACUUCUUCGAGACCAAGAAUUGAGUAUUAUGGGGUACCAAAAUGUACGAGAAAUUAUAGCUAUUUCAGCUUGGUACCUAUGGUGGGAAAGA